GCAGAGCCAGGCAGAUAUUUUGUAGAAACUGCAUUCAUUCUGGUGACUAAUGUUAUUGGGAAGCGAGUGAGAGGUGAGCAAAUUGAUUAUUGGAUUGACGAUGGGGUUCACGGAUCAUUUAACCUUGGAGCGUAUGACCGUGCUUCUUUGUCGUAUAAGGUUUUCCCUCAAAAUGAAGAUGACUUAGCAGGUCUAAUUACUUCCUCGACAAUUUUUGGACUGACCUGUGAUUCAUUAGACGUUGUGGUAAGUGGGUGCAAGCUACCAGAGCUACAAGUCAAUGAUUUGAUCGUGUUCUAUAACAUGGGUGCCUACACAACAGCUCCUGCAAGCAAGUUUAAUGGGUUUAACAGGUUUGAUUUGCCCACCUAUCUUGUAUUUACAAGUGCAGAUUGAAGCGUGGACAUAUCAGAUAAUUAACCUUUGUAUUUUAUCUUCCCUUUCUUCUCUUGUCUUUCCUAUCUUCCAAUCACUCCAGCAAGACAACAAUUUUACACUCAAUAAUAUUAUUAUUUUCUUACUAGAAUUGGACAUUAGCUAUUACAGAAACUAGAAUAUCAAUUUGAAAGUUAUCAUAGUACAUUAAAGUAAACUUUAACCUGCAUUAUAGUUAAUGGAUGUAAUUGUAAUGCCAACAUGCUAUUUAUUAAUGAAUCUAUUUUAUAUUGUAAUGCAUUAGAUGUCACAUUGUGGAAAAUAUGUUACAAUUUCCUGAAUUUCUUUUUCCAUAGUUUUUACACUCUGUAAUCAUAAAUAUCCUGAACUUCACUCAAUAAUUCACAUUGUAAAUUGUUGCCAAGGUUGUCUUUUUUUUUACUCUAAUCAUCUAGUAUCUGAAAUUAACUUGCUCGAUUAAUCUGAAUUCGCACCGGAUAGACCAAAAAGGGACUCUUAGUCGAGAAGUAAAAAGGUUAUCUUCUCGGUAAUGUGCACCACCCAGACAUAAUAAACAUGGCACCACCGACACAAUUCAACAUAUAUAAUUGCAAUCAGUUCAUUUUGUUUUGUAUACUGGUCUUUUUCAACAUGUGUUUCGCGUAUUUGUAGUUCUUGAUUUUACACGUAAUUUGUUUACUCUUUUUUUAUUAUAUAAUAAUAUUAUUUUUUUAAUUUAAUUUUAAAUAUCUUAAAAAAAAAAAGAGAAAAAAAUUCUUAAAACUUGAUUUUUCAACCUAUUGAAGUGUGCAAGUGCCUGUCAGAGUUUGAUCUACAUGUCGCUAUAUAGUGCAGAUAAGAACAAUAGAACAAAUGCAAGAACAAUAAAGUAAGGUCAAAUAUGUAAAAUUGUAUAAUAUAUGAGCUAAAAUAGGUAAUUUAAACCAAAAUCACUGUUAUAUUAACAGUGUUUUUGGUUUUAGUUUUAAUACAUAUAUAUAUGAGUUGCAUGUAUUUUAUCCUAAUGCAGUGAAGGACUUUUUUUUUUUUUUUUUUUUUUUUUUUUUUUUUUUUUUUUUUUUUUUUUUAGAUUUUUUUAUCUUCAAAAAGCCAUACAAAUAACAAAGAGAGGAUAUGACAUCUCUUAUAACUAAAAUAGCACAAACCAUAAGAUAUUUUAUUUGAAAAUUGAAAGAUGAAUUUGAAAAAAAUUGAUAGAACUUCAAAGUGAGUGGCUAUACAAAUUAUUUGAAUUUUUUGUACAUAAUCUCGUUACACGUAAACUAGUUGGUUAUGACAGAUAUAAAGAAUUUGAACAAUUAAAUCUAAUGAAAGAAUAGAUUGUACUAUCGGACUCUAAAAUAUAGAGAUCAUUUAUUUAAUAAAUUAUCCACAUAUUGCACGUCUGUCUAAAUAAAAACAAACUAAAUGAAAAAAAGAAUCGAAAUAAAUACUCUACAUAAAUAGAAAUAUCACAAACUCCAACAAGAUGGGGAGAAAACACUACAAAACAAUGAAAAUGUGAAAAACAAGAAAAAAAGAGAGAGGGGUUGUCGUAAGAGACAAGGACUGGCCCUUCCACCAUAACCACAUAGUUGAUUCUUGUGUUUUAAUGAAAAAAACAGGGAAAAAAAAUUAAUGAAGAACAAGAAAAGAGAGAGAGAGAGAGAGAGAAAACCUCCAAUUUUUUUUUUUUUUUUUUUUUUUUUUUUUUGGUUUUUUAGUAACCGUUCCAACCAAUAGAUGUUUGCUAGUUAAUGUAGUGGAGGACUUGAGUCACCCAACAUAGCUUGGCACUACAUUAUUACCUAAUUGGCCAAUUGGCUAAGAGAACAAGAUCCACCGCCCCUAAAGACAGAUUACUCAAAGGCCAUUAAGGGUUUAAGCAAAUUAAUUAUAUAAAUUAUCUCAAAUUAUUACAUUUGUCAAUAUACAAGACUUGAGGUGCACACCGCGAUAUAGCCUAAUGCUAAAAUGCAUAUACGACUUGACAAUAGAUUUAUGUUCAAAUCUCCUCCUUAAUUCAAAGGUUGUGCAUUUAAUAACCUUUUACGAGAUAUAAGAAACUGUGAGCAACACAACAAACGGUUCUUUAAUAUAAUGAUUAAAGCAACAACAUUUGAAUUGCAAGUUCAAUCAUUUAGAAUUCAUUUGAGAUAAAAAAUCGCAUUUUCAAAGAAUAGGCUAUUUAUUACUUUUCCAAAUUUUUUGAUAGUAAAUUCAUUUGAAUUAAUAAUUGAUUGACUUUAUAAUUUUACGUUUGUAUAUACAUGUUUUUCAUUAUAUGGUACUCGUUGUUCUCACUUGUAUUUUAAUUAUUGUAUAUCUAUAAACUUCUUGUUAAUUCAUUAUUUUCCUAAAUUAGUCUUGAAUUAUAUGGACCGGUUUGAGCUAAGCUAUAGCUACGAUUCCUAAAAUUACUAUUCGAGAUUGGAUUUGGUCGAAUAGUUAAUCAAAUGUGAAAUUAACAAUCAAAUUCAUACUUCUUAUAAUAUUUUCCUUAAUUUAGUAUAUAAUCUAUAAGAUUUAGCGAAAUUAAGAUUGGAACCAUUGCUAGCAGUAGCUGAGGUGUGUCGGUGUAAAGCCAAAAUAAAUCUAAACUGAUAUAUUGUAAUGAAAUCAUUAAUUAAUAUUAUGAAUAUUUUAUCACAUUCUUAGCAAAAUUUUGUUUUAUAGAUUAUUUUGUAUAUUCAAUAUUGCAAAUAAUUAAAUCCAUAAGCUAACUUGGUAUAUUCAAUUAUUUAUUUUCUUGAAAAUUUGAAUGUUGGAGAAGGUAAUAACUAUUUUCUAAAGUAAAAUAUAAAAAUAAAUAUAUAACAAAAUGCAAUAUUUAUCUUACAAUCAGCCAAAAUAUAAAAAUUCAUUCUUGUGAUUAACACUCUAAUACUCAUUCUUUUUGUGAGUAUCAUCACAUUGAACAUAGUUUGAUCUUCCAUAUCAUUGUCAUCUUCUACAAAAUUAUUAAAAAAAAUAAUUAAAUAGCAUAUGCAGUUAUAUACAAAACAAUUAUUAGGCUUCAUAGCAAAACCAAAAAUUAUUGAUAGAAAAAUAAAUAUUUUCUUAAUAGCCAAAAGCAAUUAAAACUAUAUAUAUGACGAAACUUUUCCACGAUAGAAUUCUAACAGCUCAAUGCAUGAAUUUGACCAUGUAUUUUCAGCGAUUAUCCUUGUGGCCCUCGAACUAUACGAGGAAUUCAUGUGACCCUGCACUUUCGAAUUUUAAUAAUCAUUAUAUCCCUUGCUAAAAUAAAAUGCAGUAGCGUAACGUCAUGAUUGAACCCUACAAAGAUAUUUCAUUUUGUUUAAUGACAUAAUUAUUAUUGAAAUGUCAAAAUAAAUGAUCAUGAUUAAAUCCUCGUUAAAUUCAAUGAGUCACGAGGAUAAUUAGCCAAAGUUCAGCUUCAAAUUUAUUUAUUUGGGCGGAUUCUAAUUCCUAAUUACUAAGAAACUUUAGUAAUAAAAUAAUAUGAUCAAUGCAAAUUGUAAAUAGUAUUUGUCUAACCACUUGUUUUAGCUUAUAAUUUACUUUUGACUUCUUAUCCAUAGAAUCUAAUGGGCUUUGUGAUUUGCAACUUGGUACUAAGUUUAGGUUAGAACAAAGUCAUAAAUAGCUGGAUAUUUAAUUAUUAUUAUUAUUAUUAUUAUAAAGGCUAUUUGAAUUGUAGGAUUUAGGGUAAAAUCAUUUUAAUUAUACAAUUAAGAUAAUUUUAGGAAAUUAUUAGGUGUAAAAUUAUGUUUUUAAAAUUUUAACUAAUCAAGAAAAAUAUAUACUACGUGUUAAAUGUGACAUAGUAUUUAAAAGAUUUUUAGUAAUAUAAGUAUUUUAUCAUAAACUAAAUACUACUUCUGUUCCAUAAUACUUGUCACAUUUGAAAAUUCACGUCUUUAAAAAAAUCAUAAAAUUUAUCGAAAUUAUAAUAAAUUAUUGAGUAUUUACUAUAUUACCCGUAAAUUAAUAAUAAUUCUCUAAAAACACCAUUAAAUUGAAAUAAUAAUUAUUGGUCAUAUACAAAGAGUAAAUAUGAAAAAAGAAUUAUUGCUCCUUGAAAUCAUAAAUAUGAAAAAUAUUUUAGAACAAACUAUUUUUUCAGAUAUUACAAGUAUUAUAGAACAAAGAAGGUACUAAAUUUUUUUUUUUAAUAUAAAUAUUAGGAUAAAAACCAAUAUGGGCUUAUUCUCUAAAAAAAACAAAAUAUGGGCUUCCUUUCCGAUGUGCCCAAAGAAAAGGAUUUUGGGCCGAAACAGAUCACGUGAGAUCCAAAAACUGAACAGUAAUAAAAAUAUAGAGAGACCGUCUAAAUACAGAUCACAUGAGCUAAGCUAAUUUAGCUGUAGAGGCCAGUAUUGGGAGUCAUUUCUAAUGAGAUUUUGGAUUUUUUGUGCAGAGCGGCAGAUUGACCUCAGUCGGUCAAUAUUCAUUACUUCAUCUGUAAUCUUUCUUUUUUGGGUUUCUUCCCUCUAUUAUAUAUAAUAUGUUCAUAUUUUUCGAUGGUUGAUAAAUAAUUUGAAUAUAGAGAAAAGAAGUAGUAAUAUAAAAUAUAUGGAUAUAGCCUUAAUUUAAAAGUAAAAAGAGAAAAAAUAAAGGGAAAAGAAGAGUAAUUUUUACUUUGAAAGCUUAGAUUUUCUUGAAAAAAAAAAAAUUAUCUUAAAGAUUUUAAAAAGCGGAAUAACAUAUUAUAUUUUGGUGAGGAGGAGAUGAGAUUUCAGUGGUGUUUUAGGCUUUAGAAUUUUCGACCAUUAGGAUUCUUAGGUGUUAGUACGAUGAGUUGAGGAAGAAGAAGAAGUAAGGAAGAAGGAGAUGAGAGGAGGGUGAUGUGGAAUUUUUAGGAGAUGCUAUUGUGUGGUAAGGUGCACCUUUUGCAUUAAAAUUCUAGUGGUUGAUAGAAUAGGUGUUUGAAGAUUUUAUUUAGACAAGAUGCUUAUCUGACAUUGUAGAAAAAAUGACACAUAAUAUGAGUUUGAUUUGUCUUACACUGACCUGAAAAGUAGUUUGAUUUGUCUUUACGUUUUGUUUGUUGUGUUUGAAUGUAUGGUUUAGGCCAAACCCUAUUUGCAAUUUGUUUUUUCUUUUAAAUUUAAAAGUUAGAAUCACACACACGUGCAUGGCAGAUUAAUUGAGUGACAUAUUAUUAUUACACUGUGUUUCCAAAACACAGUCUCAUAACACGGUAAAUUAUCAAAAUACCCUUAUGUCACUAUAAUUUAUCAAAAUCACUGUAAUUCAUCCAGAAUCAUAAUUAAAUCAUCCUAAUAUAUAAAUAGACUAUAAAAAUGAUUUAAUCCAUGGUAAUGACAUGGUAUCAAAAUGUGGAUGUGACACUUCUUUCUAAAAAAUCUUGUGUUAACCAGGGAUGAUUAUUUUUUAUGGUUGAAUGAAUUUCAAGCACUGUAGCUGGCUUGGCUGGCUGUUGCUAUAAAUAUGGUAGCGUGAGGUACAGGUCCAAGUACACCAAGUUUUCUUCCAUAGCUUUCUCUCAGUACGUAAUUACGUCACUCAAACUGCUCCUUUGUCCAUGGCUUUCAAUAUGGUUGAUGUUAAUGCUCUUAACUCCAGCAGCCUCAAAGCCAUAUCGGAGGCUAGCAGGUUGAAAGGCCAACAAGUUGUUCAAAUUCAAAAGGCUGCCCUCUAUAGUCUUAUAAAGUCUAUCUCUGAUAAUCAAGAAGAAGCUGAGCCCUUUUAUCUUAUUGAUUUAGGGGUUGUUAUAAGACUAAUGGAUAAAUGGAAUCAAUCUCUACCAAAUGUAAAACCUUUUUAUGCUGUUAAAUGCAAUACUGAGCCUGCAUUACUUCUAUCACUUGCAACACUUGGUGCAAACUUUGACUGUGCAAGUCAAGCUGAGAUUGAAACCAUCCUUGGCCUCGGUGUUAAUCCUGACAGGAUUGUGUAUGCCAAUCCAUGCAAGUCUGCGUCCCAUAUAAAAUAUGCAGCUAGGGUUGGAGUCAACCUGACAACCUUUGAUUCCAAGCAAGAAAUUGAUAAGAUAAAAAAAUGGCAUCCAAAAUGUGAACUACUGCUUAGACUUAAAGUUCCAAGCGAAAAUUCAUCCUGGCGUUCAUUUGGUAACAAAUACGGUGCAUUAACUGAGGAGGUGGCUUCUCUACUCCAACAUGCAAACCAGGCUGGUCUUAAAGUUGUUGGAGUGUCAUUCCAUGUGGGUUCUAUAGCAUCAGACCCACAAGUGUAUCACAGCGCAAUUGCUACAGCAAGAUUUGCAUUUGAUACUGCCAUUAAGCUCGAAAUGCCUGCAAUGCAUAUUCUUAACAUUGGUGGCGGGUUUAGGGCGAACCCAUUAUUUGAUGAGAUUGGUAAAACUGUAAACGACUCAGUUCAAGAAUUUUUUCCAGAUGAACUGACAUCGCUGACAAUGAUAGCAGAGCCAGGCAGAUAUUUUGUAGAAACUGCAUUCAUUCUGGUGACUAAUGUUAUUGGGAAGCGAGUGAGAGGUGAGCAAAUUGAUUAUUGGAUUGACGAUGGGGUUCACGGAUCAUUUAACCUUGGAGCGUAUGACCGUGCUUCUUUGUCGUAUAAGGUUUUCCCGCAAAAUGAAGAUGACUUAGCAGGUCUAAUUACUUCCUCGACAAUUUUUGGACUGACCUGUGAUUCAUUAGACGUUGUGGUAAGUGGGUGCAAGCUACCAGAGCUACAAGUCAAUGAUUUGAUCGUGUUCUAUAACAUGGGUGCCUACACAACAGCUCCUGCAAGCAAGUUUAAUGGGUUU
rnacentral:lncRNA from 1 species